rnacentral:tRNA from 1 species
UGAGGUGUGGGCCGCGGGCUUCAGCGCCGACGGGCGCUUGCUGUGCACGGGUUC